AUACUCUCCUGGCGGGGAGGAUACCACGAUCACGAAGGGGCUUCACCCAGGGUGUGGCCCAGCCAUUGCACUGCGGCUGUGCUGACCCCUGCCAAUUCCCCAAAUGUGGGAAUCUCCACUGCAUAACUUCUGGUAGUGGGGGGCUGCGUUCGCAGUCUCCCC